UACGAAGGGUGCAAACGUUGCUCGGAAUUAUUGGGCGUAAAGCGCACGUAGGCGGCUUUGUAAGUCGGAUGUGAAAUCCCCGGGCUCAACCCGGGAACUGCGUCCGAUACUGGAAGGCUUGAAUCCGGGAGAGGGAUGCGGAAUUCCAGGUGUAGCGGUGAAAUGCGUAGAUAUCUGGAGGAACACCGGUGGCGAAGGCGGCGACCUGGUCCGAUACUGACGCUGAGGCGCGAAAGCGUGGGGAGCAAACAGG
rnacentral:rRNA from 1 species